ACCCGCUGAACUUAAGCAUAUCAAUAAGCGGAGGAAAAGAAACCAACAGGGAUUGCCUUAGUAACGGCGAGUGAAGCGGCAAAAGCUCAAAUUUGAAAUCUGGCACCUUCGGUGUCCGAGUUGUAAUUUGAAGAAGGUAACUUUGGAGUUGGCUCUUGUCUAUGUUCCUUGGAACAGGACGUCACAGAGGGUGAGAAUCCCGUGCGAUGAGAUGCCCAAUUCUAUGUAAAGUGCUUUCGAAGAGUCGAGUUGUUUGGGAAUGCAGCUCUAAGUGGGUGGUAAAUUCCAUCUAAAGCUAAAUAUUGGCGAGAGACCGAUAGCGAACAAGUACAGUGAUGGAAAGAUGAAAAGAACUUUGAAAAGAGAGUGAAAAAGUACGUGAAAUUGUUGAAAGGGAAGGGCUUGAGAUCAGACUUGGUAUUUUGCGAUCCUUUCCUUCUUGGUUGGGUUCCUCGCAGCUUACUGGGCCAGCAUCGGUUUGGAUGGUAGGAUAAUGACUAAGGAAUGUGGCUCUACUUCGGUGGAGUGUUAUAGCCUUGGUUGAUACUGCCUGUCUAGACCGAGGACUGCGUCUUUUGACUAGGAUGUUGGCAUAAUGAUCUUAANCCACCCGUCUGAAACACGGACCA
rnacentral:rRNA from 1 species